rnacentral:misc_RNA from 1 species
CAGAGUUCAUGCCCUUCGGGGUAGAUCUCCCACCCUUGUGUAUUUAUACCUUUGUUGCUUUGGCAGGCCGCUGGGCUCACGUCUAGCUACCGGCUCCGGCUGGUAAGUGCUUGCCAGAGGAAAUCAAACUCUGAAUGUUAAUGUCGUCUGAGUACUAUAUAAUAGUUA